rnacentral:tRNA from 6 species
CUGCAUAUGCAGGAAUCCGUGUGUUACCGCCCUUUCACGGCGGUAACAGGGGUUCGAUUCCCCUUGGGCGUACCA